rnacentral:rRNA from 1 species
UACGUAGGCAGCGAGCGUUGUUCGGAGUUACUGGGCGUAAAGAGUGCGUAGGCGGUUUUCUAAGUUUGGUGUGAAAUCUCCCGGCUUAACUGGGAGGGUGCGCCGAAGACUGGAAGGCUUGAGUAUGGGAGAGGUAAGCGGAAUUCCUGGUGUAGCGGUGAAAUGCGUAGAUAUCAGGAGGAACACCUGCGGUGUAGACGGCUUACUGGACCAUCACUGACGCUGAGGCGCGAAAGCUAGGGGAGCGAACGGG